AGUGAACGCUAGCGGUAGGCCUAACACAUGCAAGUCGAACGGCAGCACAGUAAGAGCUUGCUCUUACGGGUGGCGAGUGGCGGACGGGUGAGGAAUACAUCGGAAUCUACUUUUUCGUGGGGGAUAACGUAGGGAAACUUACGCUAAUACCGCAUACGACCUACGGGUGAAAGCAGGGGAUCUUCGGACCUUGCGCGAUUGAAUGAGCCGAUGUCGGAUUAGCUAGUUGGCGGGGUAAAGGCCCACCAAGGCGACGAUCCGUAGCUGGUCUGAGAGGAUGAUCAGCCACACUGGAACUGAGACACGGUCCAGACUCCUACGGGAGGCAGCAGUGGGGAAUAUUGGACAAUGGGCGCAAGCCUGAUCCAGUCAUACCGCGUGGGUGAAGAAGGCCUUCGGGUUGUAAAGCCCUUUUGUUGGGAAAGAAAAGCAGCAGGUUAAUACCCCGCUGUUCUGACGGUACCCAAAGAAUAAGCACCGGCUAACUUCGUG
rnacentral:rRNA from 1 species